rnacentral:miRNA from 1 species
AGCUAUUCAGGAUCUUUCCAU